rnacentral:sRNA from 1 species
UCGGAAGAACGAAUAAGGACGAGUCGACGAUUGAUGCUGCAAUGCUUUUGAAAUGAAGCAUCAAUAGCCGAGUCGAUUGAGCCAUGUCUGACUUGAGCUUCAGACUUGAGCGACCCGACUUUGUUGAGUUUCUAGUAACGAUAUCAAAGGCACGUUCACAUUGAGGCCAUGCGGCUUUCAAU